UACGUAGGCAGCAAGCGUUUGUUCGGAGUUACUGGGCGUAAAGGGUGCGUAGGCGGCUUCUUAAGUCUGGUGUGAAAUCUCCCGGCUCAACUGGGAGGGUGCGCCGGAUACUGAGGGGCUAGAGUGUGGGAGAGGAAAGUGGAAUUCCUGGUGUAGCGGUGAAAUGCGUAGAUAGUCAGGAGGAACACCGGUGGUGUAAACGGCUUUCUGGACCAUAACUGACGCUGAGGCACGAAAGCGUGGGUAGCAAACAGG
rnacentral:rRNA from 1 species